UACGUAGGGUGCGAGCGUUAAUCGGAAUUACUGGGCGUAAAGCGUGCGCAGGCGGCGCGUUAAGACAGGUGUGAAAGCCCCGAGCUUAACUUGGGAAUUGCGCUUGUGACUGGCGUGCUGGAGUGUGGCAGAGGGAGGUGGAAUUCCACGGUGUAGCAGUGAAAUGCGUAGAGAUGUGGAGGAACACCGAUGGCGAAGGCAGCCUCCUGGGCCUGUACUGACGCUCAUGCACGAAAGCGUGGGAGC
rnacentral:rRNA from 1 species